rnacentral:rRNA from 2 species
UUAACGGAGAGUUUGAUCCUGGCUCAGGACGAACGCUGGCGGCGUGCUUAACACAUGCAAGUCGAGCGAGGUGUACCAUGAACUAAAGGGAGCUUGCUCCUGAUAGGGAUUGGAUUCUACACCUAGCGGCGAACGGGUGCGUAACACGUGGAUAAUCUGCCCUAAAGUCUGGGAUAGCCUCGGGAAACCGGGAUUAAUACCGGAUAAGCUCACGAAUCUAUUGUUUUGUGAGAAAAGCUCUUAGCGCUUUAGGAUGAGUCCGCGGCCGAUUAGCUUGUUGGUAGGGUAACGGCCUACCAAGGCUACGAUCGGUAGCUGGCCUGAGAGGGUGGCCAGCCACACUGGGACUGAGACACGGCCCAGACUCCUACGGGAGGCAGCAGUGGGGAAUAUUGCGCAAUGGGCGAAAGCCUGACGCAGCAACGCCGCGUGGGGGAUGAAGGUUUUCGGAUUGUAAACCCCUGUCAGAAGGGAAGAAGCUCACAAGGUGACGGUACCUUCAGAGGAAGCCCCGGCUAACUACGUGCCAGCAGCCGCGGUAAUACGUAGGGGGCAAGCGUUGUCCGGAUUUAUUGGGCGUAAAGCGUCCGUAGGCGGCUUAUCAGGUGGAUUGUGAAAUCCCACGGCUCAACCGUGGGCGGCCAGUCCAAACCGGUAGGCUAGAGUCAAGUAGGGGGAGAUGGAACUCCAGGUGUAGCGGUGAAAUGCGCAGAUAUCUGGAGGAACACCGGUAGCGAAGGCGGUCUCCUGGGCUUGUACUGACGCUGAGGGACGAAAGCUAGGGGAGCAAACAGGAUUAGAUACCCUGGUAGUCCUAGCUGUAAACGAUGGAUACUAGGUGUUGGGGGUUAUCGACGCCCUCGGUGCCGCAGCUAACGCAUUAAGUAUCCCGCCUGGGGAGUACGGUCGCAAGACUAAAACUCAAAGGAAUUGACGGGGGCCCGCACAAGCGGUGGAGCAUGUGGCUCAAUUCGACGCAACGCGAAGAACCUUACCAGGGCUUGACAUAUAUGGAAAUCCCUUUCGAAAGUCAGGGGUGUCUUCGGACGUCAUAUACAGGUGGUGCACGGUUGUCGUCAGCUCGUGUCGUGAGAUGUUGGGUUAAGUCCCGCAACGAGCGCAACCCCUAUCUUAUGUUGCCAGCAGUUCGGCUGGGCACUCAUAAGAGACUGCCCCGGUCAACGGGGAGGAAGGCGGGGAUGACGUCAAAUCAUCAUGCCCCUUAUGUCCUGGGCUGCACACGUGCUACAAUGGCCGGUACAAUGGGCUGCGAUGGGGUGACCCUGAGCGAAUCCCUUAAAACCGGUCCCAGUUCGGAUUGGAGUCUGCAACUCGACUCCAUGAAGUUGGAAUCGCUAGUAAUCGCGGAUCAGCAACGCCGCGGUGAAUACGUUCCCGGGCCUUGUACACACCGCCCGUCACACCACGAAAGUUGGUAACACCCGAAGCCGGUGGCCUAACCUUUUGGAAGGAGCCGUCGAAGGUGGGACCAGCGAUUGGGGUGAAGUCGUAACAAGGUAGCCGUACCGGAAGGUGCGGCUGGAUCACCUCCUUUCUAAGGAG